UAAUACGGAGGGUGCAAGCGUUAUUCGGAAUUACUGGGCGUAAAGCGCGUGUAGGCGGUCCUGCAAGUCUGAUGUGAAAGCCCCGGGCUUAACCCGGGAAGUGCAUUGGAAACUGUGGGACUUGAGUACUGGAGAGGAUGGGGGAAUUCCCGGUGUAGAGGUGAAAUUCGUAGAGAUCGGGAGGAAUAUCAGUGGCGAAGGCGCCCAUCUGGACGGUAACUGACGCUGAGACGCGAAAGCGUGGGGAGCAAACAGGAUUAGAUACCCUGGUAGUCCACGCUGUAAACGAUGAGCACUGGGUGUAGCGGGUACUCAUUCCUGCUGUGCCGCAGCUAACGCGUUAAGUGCUCCGCCUGGGGAUUACGGUCGCAAGACUAAAACUCAAAUGAAUUGACGG
rnacentral:rRNA from 1 species